AGCAGAUACACCGGGCGGGCGCUUCAAAGCUUCUCCGCUAAAACCCUCGAUUUAUCGUUUCUUUUCGCGAAAUAAAGGCAACUUAUGGCGACUGCCUGGCCAGAGAUGUUUCUCCUUGUAUAAAGACAAGUACUUAGCUAUGGAUUCAGUUCACCUCGCCACCACACCCAAUUCCAAGCAAGAACCACUUCAGUUCUAGAGCAGACAGCCUUGCCAGAGAUGUGACUUCUUGCAUGAUGACAAGUGCUUACCUAUGGAUUCACUUCACUUCACCGCCAUACCCACUUCCAAGAUAGAACCACUUCAGUUUAGAGCAUUUCGAGCCCUUCUGCAACCCAAAAGCUAUGUGUAGAUGGCAAGAGAGGCGAGUAAUGACUUUACGGAGCGAGAACAGCAAGAUUCGGACAAGUCAUCAUGUUCACACCAUUGACAGCACCAGAGGGGAACAUAGGAAUGACAGACCUGGUUUCAAGAUCAUUGGAAAGAAUCAGAACCACUUCAGUAGAAAGCCUGGGUUUGUUCAGUGGGAGUGGAUGUCACUGAGGCAGUCCAAGGGAGACGGGAACAGUUUGGUUUGGCAUAGCUAAGUAUCCAUAGACAAACUGUCAACCGAAGGGGUGUCAGUUUUUUGUGACAGAGUUCAUUCUGCUGUAAUUUUGCAGUUUGAGAAGUCCUUGCCUCUGAUCCAAUGCAGUUGAGCUGCCGACAUAGUGAUGCCAGUCAUUACACUUGUAAUAGUUGACAAUAAUGACAAAAUUAAGCUGACUAAAGCUUUUGAAUUGUCGGAAGACGAGAAGAGGACUCUAAAACAGGAUGCCUUGCCGUGGGUGGUAUAUGUAUCAAGUAGCAACCUCAGCCAGGCAAUCUUGCUAUGAUGAAAUAUCAACAGCCAGUCAACGAAAGGAUGGAAGCUUCAGGAUGUCAAGUGUCGGAGAAUUUCGUGUCUAACGGCAUACAAAUCUAUGCUAGUUAUAAUAGUUUGGUUUCUUUUUCAGCUGAGGACCGAGAUUGGUGCUGCAUCUGUCACAUAGCCCCAGGGAAACCAUCACAGGAUCCUCGGAGACGCUUCAAACCUCACAUCGAGAACGCCUCCUGUGAACAGGAGCUGAGGGCCGCACCAAGCUAAAGAUUAAGAUUGUACAAUCAAAUAUCCACACCAGCAUGGUUUUAAGAUUGAAGGACGGGGAUGUCACAGAGGUCUGGAAAAACUAUUGCUUAACUAGGAUGCACUCGAAUCUGGAACACCUGCUGUGAGAGAGGGCUGGGGACGCACUAAGAAAGAUAUUCUUUCCAGGCAUGUUGCCAGUGCCACAAAUUUGCCACUGAAGUUGGUUCCAGUUUAAAUAUGAACUUGAAUUAUCAGAGGCUGUCCAAGGGAGCCUCUGCAUGCACCCUACAGUAAAAGGACAAGCAGCUUGAUUUGACCAGCGGAAAUAUCCACCAACUAGGUGCCAACAGAGGGCACUGAUAAUUAGAUGCCCUGAAUUUGCCUACUUGGCAAGUCGUAGCAUGUUUGUUGUUUCGUGAGAAAUAUUCUGUGCUGUAAAGCAUGCAUUUUGGAAUGAUUCCUUUUGCCUGUGAUCUGAGCCUGUGCGAGACAAUGAUGCAGAUCAUAGAACUCGGUGAGAUGGUGACAGCUGGUGAGGAAGAAGACUCGUUGAUGCAUGUGUAAAAAAAUUCAGAAGAAAUUUGGCUGCAGUCAAGACCACCUUGCAGUGAAAUGGUGUUACAAAUUCAGGCAUUCUAGUAGUUGGAGAUAUUUUUCGGCCUGCAUGAUUUCAAGGAAGAUGAGAUGGAGAAAUACAACAUACAUGGAGAGACAUGUGUCCAUUACAUAAAAGUCUGUGUGUGUAUCCUGAAUAGGGAUUCAGUUGACUUUUGAAGGAGCAAAUAUUUCGGCUCCUCCAUUAGAUGGCACAGACUGGAAAAAAGAAAAGCUGCCGCACCAUCGUCCUGGUAGCAAGCCAAAGCCAAGAGCAGUCCACAUGCUAAUGGUUGCAACUAUAACACCACUAACAAGAUUUCACUAUAAUCAUCUGACUGGAGAAAAUUAUGAAGGAAUCUACAAUGUCGUUGCAAGGACAAGCAAUGUUAGAAUACAAGCACCUCAACGGGAAAACCACUGGUAAUUGAAGCAGGUAGAUUGCCGUGACAUCUCUCCUAAACAAGCUGGGUUAUGAACAAGGAUCAUGUCAACCAAGUUCAAAUGUCUUGAACAUGAAAGGGCCCCUUCCCUUCUGACUGGAAAAGACAUCUCUCAUCUUUGGUUUGUACAUGAUCAGAACAUGCAGGACAUUGUGAACACCGAGAAUAUCACGAAGAACUGAGUGGCACCGAAAAUACCUGAAGAUUUACUUUUUCAGCUAAGAAUGACUUUGUAGGCCUAAAGGUUUAGAAGUUUACCUCAAUUCCUAAGGACUAUCAACUUAUUCCUAAGGUAGUCUGGAAAAAAUUUCAUCCUGGAUGCAGAGAAAGACUGUACAGUAGAACCUCUCUAUUAAGGGCACCCUCGAGACUGACUAGUGCUGUCCUUAAUAAAGAGAUGUCGUGAUUAGAGAGGUCAAAUUGAAUGGAAACAACCAAUUUGGGACCAAAACUAGUGUUGUCCUUAGUAGAGAGGUGUCUGCUAAGGGAAGUUCUACUGUGGUUACAUUACUUGCAUGUUAGUUUUGGUGUUAGUUUUCACUGUUGAAGGACACAGACACAGAUGCCAAUCGGCAGUGAAGGUGACCUUCUCAAGCGAGGAACCAACGUCUUCGUAUUGCAGCCACUGUAGCUUAGGUAGUAUAGUGACCUACAUGAAGUUGUUUUCAGUUAUUAAAGUCCAUGGGGUUAGUUGCAUUUAACCUUGACUCUGUUAGACUGGGUCCAUUGAAUGUAACAAAAAUAAUCGAUGCCUAUUUACAAAUGAAAUGAAGAGUCUGCAUUUUGGUGUAACUCCAUAUAACUGUCAGGUGAUUUCGCUCUGAACUUGUGACACUCUGAUCGGUCUGAAAUAAUCAUUAUCUCGCCCCUCUGGGAAAAUUUUGCAGCCGCAUGGCACCUCUUGUUACCGUCUGAGAGAUGGCGAUGUCGGAGGGGCAUGACGGUCGGCAAACCUAUUGCGAAUGGGCAGCACAAUUAGGUGUAGGAUAUUCUUAAACCAUUGCACACUCCUGAAUCUGCGGUGGGUUGGUACCCCACGCUACGUAGGGAGUAGGUUUUUGGGUAAAACUUGGUCCCCGUGAAUAGGUCGUGCCUUAAAAUGAUGAGAAGUUGCGAAUUGACGCCCUGUGAAGUGUCCUUCGACCAGCUAGUGCUAAUCCGGUCACUGUCUCCAGGUCACCAUGCCUCGGUCAAUGAGCGGGCGAAGCACCCAAUGGCUCCGUCAGGAGUACAUCGUCAACUUCAGCCCGUAGUCAAACCGGUACGCGCACAAAUAUCUUAGCUGAGAGUGGGGGACAUCAGUAAAUUGCUUCUCAUCGGGGCAAUACAGUAUUGACCCCAUUUUUUGUUGGACUCAUUUCCGCUGAGGCGUGCUAGAUAAUGAGAAUUUCAGGCCAGUCCGAUUAUCACCAGUUCAGAGGGCGAUUAUCUAAUAGUUAUGUGGCUUUCCCUCAAACUGUAUACUCUUUCAUGUCAAUUGUAAAUUAGUGUUGCUUGGUAGUGUUCAGGGUCUUUUGUCGAACAGGCACAUCUGCAUACCAGUAAUUAUGUGCAAACAUCAUUUUUGCUUUGAAGCAAUAUCGUUGCUACACUCCUAAAGCAGUGGCUGUCUUCAGGUCUUAUCUGCCUCGCGGGCAAAUCUGCAUACCAGUGAUUAUAUGCAUACUUAAGUUUUGCUUUGAAGCAAUAUCAGUGCUACACUUGUGAAGCAGUGGCAGUGUUCAGGUCUUGUCUGCCUCUCGCUGACAUAUCUGCAUACCAGUAGUUAUGUGCAGACUUGGCUCUUUCUUUGGAGCAGUACAGUUGUAAGAUAAAUCCUGUUUGUAAUUUUAUAAAUUAGUUGCUCAUUAAGGGCUUACGAAGGUUUUGAUGCCUUGCUGGCAUAUCUGCAUACCAGUAAAUAUGUGCAGAUUCAUUUCUUGCUUUGAAGCAAUAUUGUUGCUACACUCCUAAAGCAGUGGCACUGUUCAGGUCUUUUCUGCAUACCAGUAAUUAUGUGCAGACUUGGCACUUCCAGAGAUUGUAGGACUGGGUCCAUUGAAUGUAACAAAAAUAAUCGAUGCCUAUUUACAAAUGAAAUGAAGAGUCUGCAUUUUGGUGUAACUCCAUAUAACUGUCAGGUGAUUUCGCUCUGAACUUGUGACACUCUGAUCGGUCUGAAAUAAUCAUUAUCUCGCCCCUCUGGGAAAAUUUUGCAGCCGCAUGGCACCUCUUGUUACCGUCUGAGAGAUGGCGAUGUCGGAGGGGCAUGACGGUCGGCAAACCUAUUGCGAAUGGGCAGCACAAUUAGGUGUAGGAUAUUCUUAAACCAUUGCACACUCCUGAAUCUGCGGUGGGUUGGUACCCCACGCUACGUAGGGAGUAGGUUUUUGGGUAAAACUUGGUCCCCGUGAAUAGGUCGUGCCUUAAAAUGAUGAGAAGUUGCGAAUUGACGCCCUGUGAAGUGUCCUUCGACCAGCUAGUGCUAAUCCGGUCACUGUCUCCAGGUCACCAUGCCUCGGUCAAUGAGCGGGCGAAGCACCCAAUGGCUCCGUCAGGAGUACAUCGUCAACUUCAGCCCGUAGUCAAACCGGUACGCGCACAAAUAUCUUAGCUGAGAGUGGGGGACAUCAGUAAAUUGCUUCUCAUCGGGGCAAUACAGUAUUGACCCCAUUUUUUGUUGGACUCAUUUCCGCUGAGGCGUGCUAGAUAAUGAGAAUUUCAGGCCAGUCCGAUUAUCACCAGUUCAGAGGGCGAUUAUCUAAUAGUUAUGUGGCUUUCCCUCAAACUGUAUACUCUUUCAUGUCAAUUGUAAAUUAGUGUUGCUUGGUAGUGUUCAGGGUCUUUUGUCGAACAGGCACAUCUGCAUACCAGUAAUUAUGUGCAAACAUCAUUUUUGCUUUGAAGCAAUAUCGUUGCUACACUCCUAAAGCAGUGGCUGUCUUCAGGUCUUAUCUGCCUCGCGGGCAAAUCUGCAUACCAGUGAUUAUAUGCAUACUUAAGUUUGCUUUGAAGCAAUAUCAGUGCUACACUUGUGAAGCAGUGGCAGUGUUCAGGUCUUGUCUGCCUCUCGCUGACAUAUCUGCAUACCAGUAGUUAUGUGCAGACUUGGCUCUUUCUUUGGAGCAGUACAGUUGUAAGAUAAAUCCUGUUUGUAAUUUUAUAAAUUAGUUGCUCAUUAAGGGCUUACGAAGGUUUUGAUGCCUUGCUGGCAUAUCUGCAUACCAGUAAAUAUGUGCAGAUUCAUUUCUUGCUUUGAAGCAAUAUUGUUGCUACACUCCUAAAGCAGUGGCAAUGUUCAGGUCUUUUCUGCAUACCAGUAAUUAUGUGCAGACUUGGCUCUUCCAGAGAUUGUAGGACUGGGUCCAUUGAAUGUAACAAAAAUAAUCGAUGCCUAUUUACAAAUGAAAUGAAGAGUCUGCAUUUUGGUGUAACUCCAUAUAACUGUCAGGUGAUUUCGCUCUGAACUUGUGACACUCUGAUCGGUCUGAAAUAAUCAUUAUCUCGCCCCUCUGGGAAAAUUUUGCAGCCGCAUGGCACCUCUUGUUACCGUCUGAGAGAUGGCGAUGUCGGAGGGGCAUGACGGUCGGCAAACCUAUUGCGAAUGGGCAGCACAAUUAGGUGUAGGAUAUUCUUAAACCAUUGCACACUCCUGAAUCUGCGGUGGGUUGGUACCCCACGCUACGUAGGGAGUAGGUUUUUGGGUAAAACUUGGUCCCCGUGAAUAGGUCGUGCCUUAAAAUGAUGAGAAGUUGCGAAUUGACGCCCUGUGAAGUGUCCUUCGACCAGCUAGUGCUAAUCCGGUCACUGUCUCCAGGUCACCAUGCCUCGGUCAAUGAGCGGGCGAAGCACCCAAUGGCUCCGUCAGGAGUACAUCGUCAACUUCAGCCCGUAGUCAAACCGGUACGCGCACAAAUAUCUUAGCUGAGAGUGGGGGACAUCAGUAAAUUGCUUCUCAUCGGGGCAAUACAGUAUUGACCCCAUUUUUUGUUGGACUCAUUUCCGCUGAGGCGUGCUAGAUAAUGAGAAUUUCAGGCCAGUCCGAUUAUCACCAGUUCAGAGGGCGAUUAUCUAAUAGUUAUGUGGCUUUCCCUCAAACUGUAUACUCUUUCAUGUCAAUUGUAAAUUAGUGUUGCUUGGUAGUGUUCAGGGUCUUUUGUCGAACAGGCACAUCUGCAUACCAGUAAUUAUGUGCAAACAUCAUUUUUGCUUUGAAGCAAUAUCGUUGCUACACUCCUAAAGCAGUGGCUGUCUUCAGGUCUUAUCUGCCUCGCGGGCAAAUCUGCAUACCAGUGAUUAUAUGCAUACUUAAGUUUUGCUUUGAAGCAAUAUCAGUGCUACACUUGUGAAGCAGUGGCAGUGUUCAGGUCUUGUCUGCCUCUCGCUGACAUAUCUGCAUACCAGUAGUUAUGUGCAGACUUGGCUCUUUCUUUGGAGCAGUACAGUUGUAAGAUAAAUCCUGUUUGUAACUUUAUAAAUUAGUUGCUCAUUAAGGGCUUACGAAGGUUUUGAUGCCUUGCUGGCAUAUCUGCAUACCAGUAAAUAUGUGCAGAUUCAUUUCUUGCUUUGAAGCAAUAUUGUUGCUACACUCCUAAAGCAGUGGCAAUGUUCAGGUCUUUUCUGCAUACCAGUAAUUAUGUGCAGACUUGGCUCUUCCAGAGAUUGUAGGACUGGGUCCAUUGAAUGUAACAAAAAUAAUCGAUGCCUAUUUACAAAUGAAAUGAAGAGUCUGCAUUUUGGUGUAACUCCAUAUAACUGUCAGGUGAUUUCGCUCUGAACUUGUGACACUCUGAUCGGUCUGAAAUAAUCAUUAUCUCGCCCCUCUGGGAAAAUUUUGCAGCCGCAUGGCACCUCUUGUUACCGUCUGAGAGAUGGCGAUGUCGGAGGGGCAUGACGGUCGGCAAACCUAUUGCGAAUGGGCAGCACAAUUAGGUGUAGGAUAUUCUUAAACCAUUGCACACUCCUGAAUCUGCGGUGGGUUGGUACCCCACGCUACGUAGGGAGUAGGUUUUUGGGUAAAACUUGGUCCCCGUGAAUAGGUCGUGCCUUAAAAUGAUGAGAAGUUGCGAAUUGACGCCCUGUGAAGUGUCCUUCGACCAGCUAGUGCUAAUCCGGUCACUGUCUCCAGGUCACCAUGCCUCGGUCAAUGAGCGGGCGAAGCACCCAAUGGCUCCGUCAGGAGUACAUCGUCAACUUCAGCCCGUAGUCAAACCGGUACGCGCACAAAUAUCUUAGCUGAGAGUGGGGGACAUCAGUAAAUUGCUUCUCAUCGGGGCAAUACAGUAUUGACCCCAUUUUUUGUUGGACUCAUUUCCGCUGAGGAGUGCUAGAUAAUGAGAAUUUCAGGCCAGUCCGAUUAUCACCAGUUCAGAGGGCGAUUAUCUAAUAGUUAUGUGGCUUUCCCUCAAACUGUAUACUCUUUCAUGUCAAUUGUAAAUUAGUGUUGUUACAUGUCGCAUUCAAUGGCUCAUUUGAGGAUAGUUUCUGUGAUUCUACUUUACCAUGAGCAGGCCCAUUUAGGCAUGUAACUGUGUAGUUUGUACUUUGUAGUAUGUGAUUUGAAAAGUUGUAAAUCUGGUUAUUGGAGUGAACCCUUUGGGUGCCUUAUAGACGUAUGACGUACAUCCACAUUUCAUGUAUGUAGUGUGCCAAGGUUUAUUGAUAAUCCAUUGAUUUGGACGUUUCUGAAGGC